CCUACGGGAGGCAGCAGUGGGGAAUUUUGGACAAUGGGCGAAAGCCUGAUCCAGCCAUGCCGCGUGAGUGAAGAAGGCCUUCGGGUUGUAAAGCUCUUUCAGCCGGAAAGAAAUCGCGCAGGAUAAUACUCUGCGUGGAUGACGGUACCGGAAGAAGAAGCACCGGCUAACUACGUGCCAGCAGCCGCGGUAAU
rnacentral:rRNA from 1 species